rnacentral:rRNA from 1 species
AUGCGAAUAACAGAGGGCAGCGACGGCUGCGGCCUCACCUGCGCCGGCGAUGGGAGGCCACGGGAGGAUAGGGCGCUGCUGGGGAUGGACGCACCUCUCCAUCCCGCGCUCGUGGGUGGCCGCGCUGGCCUCGGGGACCGCCGGAGUUGGUCGCGACGGCUGAGACAGAGGGCGGCGGCUCCAUGGCAAGGGAGGGCUCCGGAGGCUGGGAAGGAGAGCUGGGGUUCUGGGGAGGCUAGAGGAGGUCCAGGGAGCUCUCUGGUGGCGACAGAAAGGAGGGGGAGGGCUCGGCUCGGGCUAAUUUAG